GACCUCCCAGGAUCGCAUCUGGAGAGUAACUAGUACUCUGCCAGCUUCGGAGACAGGAGGGAAAGCACGGCAGAGGUACCCAUUCCAUUCCCAGCUUGCUCAGUAACUGGUGAUUGGAAGACACUCUGCAACAGUG